UUUUUGUUGUUAGUUUUAAUUUUUAUGUAUUUUCGAAUUUUUUGUGAAUUUUUAAAAAUUGACUAUUUCACCACUUUUGGAGACAUGCGGAACGAAAAUGGUAACCCUAAGGGUGGUGAGUAAAUCGUGAAACUGAUAACCCUAUACUCAGCUCUUAUUUACAUUUCGAAACGUCAAAAAAUGAAAAGCAAAAUCUCAAACCAUAACAAACGGAUUCGGUGGUGCAAUUUUCCCCCAUCACAGCCGUCGGGAUUUACGCCGAAAAUCAAGUUGGUCCCAGCUCACGCAUUAAUGCGAUCGUUUUGUAAAGUCCCAGGUGUAAUAGCCGGCUCUAAACGUUGGAAUUUAAACUGAUAUCUGUGGGAAAUAACUUCGACGGGUGUUCUCCUCUGUGGGCUAAAAUUUACUGGAGACAGGGCAUCUAACGUCGAAAAUUGGCGCAAUAAUUCGAGCGGUUAUCGAUUCGACCCGGCCAGUGAUAAACCGAAGCGGUAUGUACUUGCAAAGUUCCCGUAACAGUGCUAACGUGCUGCAAGCGACGAGUUGGGAUGCGGUUAGGCUGCCAAGGCCAACAAAGUAUGCCGCAACGCAGCGGAAGAUUCCG